rnacentral:misc_RNA from 1 species
AAGGAGUCUAACAUAACUGCGAGUAUUUGGGUGUCAAACCCGAGUGCGCAAUGAAAGUGAACGUAUGAGCCACGCGCAAGCUGCAGCUUCGACCGUUCUGGAUCUUUAGUGAUGGUUUUGAGUAAGAGCAUAUAUGUUGGGACCCGAAAGAUGGUGAACUAUGCCUGAAUAGGGCGAAGCCAGAGGAAACUCUGGUGGAGGCUCGUAGCGAUUCUGACGUGCAAAUUGUUCGUCAAAUUUGGGUAUAGGGGCGAAAGACUAAUCGAACCAUCUAGUAGCUGGUUCCUGC